CAGAGUGAGAAUUUCCCUUUGACUUGUUAGGGGAACAGUUCUGGACCUGGCAAGGGCUUGUUAUGGUGACAAGAGGCAGGGGAGGCAAGGUACAGAUGUAGAAGGCAGACUGCAGGAAAGGGGUGAAGUAAAGGCGAGAUUCAAGCGACUGUUCUAAAAGAUCUCAUCUUUAUGAUACUGAAGCCAUGUCCUGGAGGAGCAAGCUUGAUGAGACAGGGAUCAAUGAUGAGGUGCCUACCAGAACACUGAAGACGAAGACUGCCUGCCACAAACAGGCUCGAGAAGGUUCCAUGAGGAAAUCAAGAUGCCAAUCGAGAGGAAAGAGAAAGAGGAUGCGUCCGUUGAAUGUUGAGAAACAAAAGGUCCAGGAGUGGAUCAAUUCUCUUCUGCAGAUGCCUGAACAAAGCUCUCCAGUUUAGGAAAAUAGAGUUCUUGUUUCAAAGCAGUUCCUGAGAACUGCCCAGAUUUGAAUUGAAUAGUUCCCGAGCUACAAGCUGGAGCAGAUGAGUCCCCUGGGAAGAGAGAACCUCAAAUGAGAAAUGCCAAUGCCCCCUUCAGACUGGCCUCCAGGUCACUGGAACUGGUUUGUGGGAGAUGUGGACUACAUAGCUCCUAGCCAGCUUCAAGCAGAGCUUAACGGACCAUUCUGGUGGGAUCUUGGAGGACUAGAAUGUUGAAAGAAAUGGGGACAGCAGAGGCCUAGUUCAUGAGGCCACAAAGAGGAGCAAGAAGCAAGUGAAAUGGCUUGGGGUCACAGUUCGGAGAUUGUUCUGAGUCUGAGAAGAGACACUGAAUUUCUUAACAAUGUUGAGACUGUUAAAAGACUGUAGGGACCUGGAAAGAUGGAUCAAAUGCAUUUUACAUUAUGGAAUAAUAAUAAUAAAAAAGCUUUAGAGACCAG
rnacentral:lncRNA from 1 species